GAUUUGACGACCACUGCUGAAUUGGCCUGCUCAGAGGAAGAGGCACUAAUGAUUCCAGAAGAGGAAGCCAAAGAAGGAGACCUACACAGACUUUGAAAUGGAUCUCUCAAUUGCCAUGAUGACCAAGAUAUUCAACGGGGAAAUGUGGAAAGCUGCCAUAUUCCCAGUCAUUACUUUGCCAAAUCAUCUGUGCAGCAGCACCGAGGGAUCCUACUUUCCGGAGUAUGAAGCCGACCAUCAAGGACUUCCCCGACUGGCAACAGACUGGAGCAGAGGCUGUAGCAGGGACAGCAUUUUUU